UACGGAGGGGGCAAGCGUUAUUCGGAAUUAUUGGGCGUAAAGGGCGCGUAGGCGGCUAGAUGUGUCAAAGGUGAAAUCCCUCGGCUCAACUGAGGAACUGCCUUUGAAACUGUCUGGCUUGAGGCCGGGAGAGGGUAGCGGAAUUCCCAGUGUAGCGGUGAAAUGCGAAGAUAUUGGGAGGAACACCAGUGGCGAAGGCGGCUACCUGGACCGGUUCUGACGCUGAGGCGCGAAAGCGUGGGUAGCAAACGGG
rnacentral:rRNA from 1 species